CUGGCGGCGUGCCUAAUACAUGCAAGUCGAACGGUCUUUUCUAUGGAAGCUUGCUUCCACUGAGAAGAUAGUGGCGAACGGGUGAGUAACACGUGGGUAACCUGCCCAUAAGAGGGGGGAUAACAUCCGGAAACGGGUGCUAAUACCGCAUAGUUUUCUUGAUCGCAUGAUUGAGAAAGGAAAGACGGCCUUUGUGCUGUCGCUUAUGGAUGGACCCGCGGCGUAUUAGUUAGUUGGUGAGGUAACGGCUCACCAAGACGAUGAUACGUAGCCGACCUGAGAGGGUGAUCGGCCACAUUGGGACUGAGACACGGCCCAAACUCCUACGGGAGGCAGCAGUAGGGAAUCUUCCGCAAUGGACGAAAGUCUGACGGAGCAACGCCGCGUGAGUGAAGAAAAGGUUUUCGGAUCGUAAAACUCUGUUGUCAGAGAAGAACAAGUUGGAGAGUAACUGCUCCAGCCUUGACGGUAUCUGACCAGAAAGCCACGGCUAACUACGUGCCAGCCGCCGC
rnacentral:rRNA from 1 species